rnacentral:rRNA from 1 species
GACGAACGCUGGCGGCGUGCUUAACACAUGCAAGUCGAACGGAAAGGCCCUGCUUUUGUGGGGUGCUCGAGUGGCGAACGGGUGAGUAACACGUGAGUAACCUGCCCUUGACUUUGGGAUAACUUCAGGAAACUGGGGCUAAUACCGGAUAGGAGCUCCUGCUGCAUGGUGGGGGUUGGAAAGUUUCGGCGGUUGGGGAUGGACUCGCGGCUUAUCAGCUUGUUGGUGGGGUAGUGGCUUACCAAGGCUUUGACGGGUAGCCGGCCUGAGAGGGUGACCGGCCGGAGGGGGAAUGAGGGGAGAGCCAGAGGGCGACGGUGGGCGGUGGGGGGGGGGAGGGCGGAGUGGGAGGAGGGGUGAUGCGGCGUCGCCGCGGGCGGGAGGGCGGCUGGCGGGGAGAAAAACGCAUGCGCCGGAGACCAAGCGGGAGUGACGGGAAUGAGUAAAGAAGAACCGGCGAACUUCGGC